rnacentral:rRNA from 1 species
AUUGAACGCUGGCGGCAGGCCUAACACAUGCAAGUCGAGCGGAUGAAGGGAGCUUGCUCCUGGAUUCAGCGGCGGACGGGUGAGUAAUGCCUAGGAAUCUGCCUGGUAGUGGGGGAUAACGUCCGGAAACGGGCGCUAAUACCGCAUACGUCCUGAGGGAGAAAGUGGGGGAUCUUCGGACCUCACGCUAUCAGAUGAGCCUAGGUCGGAUUAGCUAGUUGGUGAGGUAAAGGCCUACCAAGGCGACGAUCCGUAACUGGUCUGAGAGGAUGAUCAGUCACACUGGAACUGAGACACGGUCCAGACUCCUACGGGAGGCAGCAGUGGGGAAUAUUGGACAAUGGGCGAAAGCCUGAUCCAGCCAUGCCGCGUGUGUGAAGAAGGUCUUCGGAUUGUAAAGCACUUUAAGUUGGGAGGAAGGGCAGUAAGUUAAUACCUUGCUGUUUUGACGUUACCAACAGAAUAAGCAACGGCUAACUUCGUG